rnacentral:rRNA from 1 species
ACAGUGGACGCGAGCAUCUGUGGCCAAGUUUUUAAGGGCGCACGGUGGAUGCCUUGGCACCAGGAACCGAUGAAGGACGUGGGAGGCCACGAUAGUCCCCGGGGAGUCGUCAACCAGGCUUUGAUCCGGGGGUUUCCGAAUGGGGAAACCCGGCAGUCGUCAUGGGCUGUCACCCGCUGCUGAACUCAUAGGCAGUGUGGAGGGAACGCGGGGAAGUGAAACAUCUCAGUACCCGCAGGAAGAGAAAACAACUGUGAUUCCGGGAGUAGUGGCGAGCGAAACUGGAUGAGGCCAAACCGUAUGUGUGUGAUACCCGGCAGGGGUUGCGCAUGCGGGGUUGUGGGAUCUCUCUUCUACGGUCUGCCGGCCGUGRGRCGAGUCARAAACCGUUGAUGUAGGCGAAGGACAUGCGAAAGGUCCGGCGUAGAGGGUAAGACCCCCGUAGUCGAAACAUCAGCGGCUCGUUUGAGAGACACCCAAGUAGCACGGGGCCCGAGAAAUCCYGUGUGAAUCUGGCGGGACCACCCGCUAAGCCUAAAUAUUCCCUGGUGACCGAUAGCGGAUAGUACCGUGAGGGAAUGGUGAAAAGUACCGCGGGAGCGGAGUGAA